rnacentral:rRNA from 1 species
UACGAACGCUGGCGGCGUGCUUAACACAUGCAAGUCGAACGGAAAGGCCCUGCUUUUGUGGGGUGCUCGAGUGGCGAACGGGUGAGUAACACGUGAGUAGCCUGCCCUUGACUUUGGGAUAACUUCAGGAAACUGGGGCUAAUACCGGAUAGGAGCUCCUGCUGCAUGGUGGGGGUUGGAAAGUUUCGGCGGUUGGGGAUGGACUCGCGGCUUAUCAGCUUGUUGGUGGGGUAGUGGCUUACCAAGGCUUUGACGGGUAGCCGGCCUGAGAGGGUGACCGGCCACAUUGGGACUGAGAUACGGCCCAGACUCCUACGGGAGGCAGCAGUGGGGAAUAUUGCACAAUGGGCGGAAGCCUGAUGCAGCAACGCCGCGUGCGGGAUGACGGCCUUCGGGUUGUAAACCGCUUUCGCCUGUGACGAAGCGUGAGUGACGGUAAUGGGUAAAGAAGCACCGGCUAACUACGUG